rnacentral:rRNA from 1 species
UAGGGAAUCUUCGGCAAUGGACGAAAAGUCUGACCGAGCAACGCCGCGUGAGUGAAGAAGGUUUUCGGAUCGUAAAACUCUGUUGGUAGAGAAGAACGUUGGUGAGAGUGGAAAGCUCAUCAAGUGACGGUAACUACCCAGAAAAGGGACGGCUAACUACGUGCCAG